ACAAGUCUGAAAUAGUUCAUCUUUUUCAUCAGUGUUAGCCACACUUGCUUUCAACUUGUCUUAAUUUUUUUCCAAUUCUAAAAUGCUUUUUCAAAAAGUCUGAGGUAGCAAAGUAGCUGCUGGUACUUCAGCUUGAUUCUGAAGAAAUAAAUUUUAACAGCGAAUCUUAAAAGCCAACUCAUGAAUUUAAAAUGAAGGCAAAGUCCAAUUCGCCACUCCCACCCAUUUCUCACACCAGCUGUCUACCAACUGUGGCUGCAACUUUUCUGACACGACUAAACGGGCUGAAUCACUUGCUGAAGACUCGGCUUCGCUAGUACUCUUGAAGAACCGCACUUUCAGCCGGAUGGGGCAGGGCCAGGCUCAGAACCACCAGCUAAGACCCAAUCCCCUCGCUAGGGAAACGUAACUAGGCAACCACCACAAGUCAACAGCGCGCGCUAGCUUCAAAACAGCGGGUUGCAGGAGGUACUGAAAUUAACUCCAGAGAACCAGGGUCAGCAGCGAGGGGCAGAACAGAGCCCUAAAACCUAGUAGCAUCACAAAAACGAGGCAUCAACUGACGGGUAGUCUGAAGCUGGGGAGUUGUUUUAAAGACCACGAGAAAAGGGGCAGACCUACUCAACGCACUUUGCUGCGGGUCAGUUAUUUUCUCAAAACCCCAAAGGCCAGGAAGAAAGGUGACAGUCCCAGCCAAUGAGAGGCGGACACAAGUUGCACCUCCGGCGGCCGUCGGCGCCGUAGGCGGGGUAGAAAGAAAGGAACGAGCGCGCGUGCGCGGAAGGCUCAGGCGGCCGCGCGCAGAGAUACAGGCUGAAGAAAUGGGGGAAGGGUGGAAGAGGAAUAUAUGCGCACGCGCACCGGAGGCCGCGCGGGCUCUGGGUCUCGAGCCAGGUUCGCAAACACGAGCGCGCGCGCCGUUAGCACUGCUCAGCGACCCCGCCCGGCCUUUUCGGCCCGUAGUGCCUCGAAAACCUGAAGGAAGCUGACAAAAAAACGCACAAAUAACGGCGCAACGUCUCCUUGGUUCUCCUUUUGCCGCCAACCCGUCACCACCCACAGAAAAGUCAAAAAUAUGGCCUGUCCUCGGUCUUCACUGCUUCUUGAGUAACUUGAAUACAGCGCGAGGCCUACCUGACACGCAGAAUCGCGGUUCCGGGGAUUUAUCUCCGUUGCAACCACACAGCGGCCAUUUCCCGACUCAAGAACGCGAGGAAAACCAUAGAGAAAGAAAAGGAAAAAGAGAAAUGGAGAAGAAUGGAUAUGUGAAAAGGACAAAGACAAGAAAAUAGGAAUGAGGAUGGAGUUGGAAGUCUAGCACAAAGGCAAGCUCCAAGACCUGACUGGUUUUGUUUGGUUUGUUUUGUUUAUCUUUUUAGGUGGAACAUCUGAACUAUUUCCAUUCUACAUUAUGUACUUGCUGCAGGGGAAGUGAACUGCCAUGUCCUGAGAUAACGAGAGUUUGGGGAGAGAGGUGCCAUGAGUCUGUGGAGAGGUCAAUAUGACAAAGAACUGAAGCUUGCCAAGAGCCAUUUGAGUGAGCUUGGAAGUGGAUCUUUCCCCAGGCUGACUCAUGACUGAUGACUCCUGGGGAAAAAUCAAGACACAGGAAUAAGCAAUAUGCUUAAGGGAAUAAGCAAAUGAGUAACCCAGUUCUAUUUAAGGAAAUAUUUGAUUUUCAAGAGGUGGUCUUCGAAAAGUUCUGAUUGCCUCUCAGGAAAGAUACUAAUGCUGGCAUUCUGCCCAGGAGAGGAAGGGUAUUCCCAUUCAUCCCAGUAAUUCUGAUAGAGGAAAUAGUCCUUGGACCUGCAGCAACAGCGUCAUCUGGGGAUUUGUUAGCAAUGCAAGUUCUCAGACUCCACCAUAGAACUACUGAAUCAGACAUUCUGGGAUGAGGCCCAGCAUUCCAUGGUCUAACAAACCCUCCAGGGUUUUCCAGGCACACCAUCAUAUCAUCCAAAAGCAGCUAAUACAUUUCUCGUGGAAAUUGUCAAGUUGAUUUGAACACUUAUAUGAAAAUGCAGUGAAUCUAGAAGAGCCAAAACAAAAAGAAAAACAUACUGCUGCCACCUGAUUUCAGAUUUCACUGUACACCUGAUUUCGGAUUUCACUGUACACCUGAUUUCGGAUUUCACUGUACACCUGAUUUCGGAUUUCACUGUACACCUGAUUUCGGAUUUCACUAUGGUGUGAGGACAGACAGAUCAAUGAACAGAAUAAACAGCCUGGAGAUGACGCAGUCACCAAGACAAUUAAAUGGGGAAAAGAAAGUCUUUUUGAAUAAAUAGUGCUGAACAACUGGUUACACACAUGGAAAGGAAAAACCUUGAUUGAUUACUGCUACUUCCUGAUCUUUACUGCUCUUUUGUCGUCUUAAUUGUAUCAUCUGUGAAAUAAUUAUGCUGUAGGUCUACAGUUCCUUACUUGUGGAUCCAAAACAGAAAAUUCUCUAGAAACUGCAGGUUUCUUUCUAAGGCUUUUUGUGCCAAAAUCCAACCGUACCUAGAUUCAUUUGGUCACAGACCUUAUCUGAAAUGAUUUGAGGCUACUUGUAGUCUCUAUGUAAUUUAGUGUAGUCACACAUUUCACUGAAAAUAUACACAUUUACUUGA